UGUGAACCCAUGAGGCUUGCCAAGUAGGGA
rnacentral:piRNA from 1 species